rnacentral:tRNA from 4 species
GUGGGCGUAGCUCAAUGGCAGAGCGCUACACUGUGGAUGUAGAUGUUGUGGGUUCGACCCCCAUCGCCCACCCCU